AUGGGGUCAGAUAACCUCAGCUUUUAAUACAAAGCCUGGAGUUUUAUCUCUUAAUCCUUUCUCUGGGUCACCUACUGUUACACUUCCUGUGGGAUAAUGGAAAAGGCAUGCUUUGCUGUUAUUAUUGGUGUACGUGUUCCUUAAUGAUUUAAAAAAUCCCUGGCAUUUGGAAAUGUUACCGUUCAGAAUACAGUCAGCUUCCUGGUCCCACGGAGUCUCAGUGACUAUCAGAUGAGGAAACUCCCUUUCAGCAUUGCCUUGAAGAAGAGAGAUAAGACACUUGAAAUACUUUAUGUGAUACUUCAUGAUUGCUCAAGAAAUGGAAAUGAUGGGGAUUAUUGAUGAAGAUCUUGCAAAUCCAAGAAAUGACAAUUCUCAGAUGCAGCCCUGCAGGGGAGUGGUAAAGGCAUUGGAGUUGGCAUGGGAGGAAGGUUCACAAGACUCAAGGCAUGGAGUUGAACUGGCUUUAUGUACACAGCCCUCUGUGCGCCCUGGCUCUGGGAUCUGACGGGCUUGAAUCGUGGCCGCACCCCUCAACAGAUGGGUGGCCUCAAGGACGUCCUUGACCCCUGUUCACUUGGGGUUUCUCAUCUAGCAGGAGGGGGUUACAUGACAAAUGUCCUGUGCCCAUCUGGAGCCUGACCCACGGCAGCUGCAAGAUGCCACUGCCACCACCCCUCCCACCCCGCCCUCCCCCGCCCCGACAGUGACCCUGCGGUCAGAAGAAUCUGGACUGGACAGUUUUUCCAUCUUUGCAACUCCGUAAA